AUGUGGGAAGAUCAAUAUCUUGAGGAUACUCCACGUUGGAGAUGAAGUCUGUCAACUGAACAACAUGAUCCCACAGAACAUAGACCACCUGAAGCUAUUCAGCAAGCAGUAUGCUAACGAAAUGGUACUUUGCAUCAACAGCAGCAGAUAGCUGACCUGCAUUUGAGGUUCAUGGUAGAGAUCACCACAUUCACACUUAUUUAUCCAUUUAUUAGAGCUCUUUGGAGAUUAGGCGCCUGCCAGAGGCCAGUGUCUUCACCUGUGUUCGGACAGAUUGCAGAGAAGACUGGGGGAUCCAUUUGGAUGGGCCCAAGAUAAGGUACAUUACUCCUGGCUCCAGUGCUUCCCAGUGUGGGCUGGACUGUCCAAUGGCUGUCACAACUGAAAGCACAGUCCCCUGGUGCAUCACUGAGAUUAACUUCAAACCUGUCAGCUUGAUUCAGGAGGACAAGAGGUCCACCCAGAGGCUGUUGAAAAGAAUGGAUGAUGGGACAAAGCUAUAUCUUGUGCUGCAGCCUCUGGACUUUGUGUGUGAAAUGUCCAGGAAGCUGAAGAUGAUGGCAGACUGGGAGCAGUAUGAUGCAGACGUGUGUGUAACAGAUGGGCUCGUGUAUAUAUCAUAUUUAUAGGCUGGGUUGGAAACAAAGUGGUAAAACAGUCAACCUCAAUUUUGCUGCAACAUUGAAUGAAGAAUGCAAUAUUCAGUUAUAUCAUUCUGAGUAUACAUCAGAACAGGACAUUUAAUUGACCUAUAUUUACACACUACCUCAGACUGGGACUUAGGUUCCAAUGUGAUUUCCGACGGCAUGUUAACACAUGGGACCUUGAGAACUGAAAGGGUUAACGCACAUUUUAAACUAUUUAUAAACUGUAUGCACAGGUGUGAAUGCGGAACUAAGGAGUGCUGGAGCCACUGGGGUUAGCCUUGAUCAAAAAGUGAUCAUUAUGAUGUUGUUUCUUACCUGGUGAACAUAGAAAUGAACGUUGAGACUGUGAAUCGCUUUUGUACCUACUGUAGAUACACACUGUGGAUCUAUUGGUUAAUGUUAUAAUUGUAAAGUAAAAAC